rnacentral:rRNA from 1 species
UACGUAGGGUGCGAGCGUUGUCCGGAAUUAUUGGGCGUAAAGGGCUCGUAGGCGGUCUGUCGCGUCGGGAGUGAAAACUCAGGGCUUAACCCUGAGCCUGCUUCCGAUACGGGCAGACUAGAGGUAUGCAGGGGAGAACGGAAUUCCUGGUGUAGCGGUGGAAUGCGCAGAUAUCAGGAGGAACACCGAUGGCGAAGGCAGGUCUCUGGGCAUUAACUGACGCUGAGGAGCGAAAGCGUGGGGAGCGAACAGG